UUCAAAAUAGAUCACUGCAUUGCAGACACUGAAGUGAAAACGUGCUACUCCUCACGUAAGGUCCCGGGGAGCCCUCUCGUCGAGUGAGUGAUGCUCAAAGAUCCUUUCAAGAGGGCUGAGAAAUCACGAUAGCAGAGAUGCUAGUGCAUGCAGCUGCACAGCAGUUCAAAAGGUGCAACAUCGCUGCUCUUUUGUUCCUCUGCAAGCAUCAAAGCAGCUCUCACACCUGCCCAACAAAGCAAGAG